rnacentral:rRNA from 1 species
ACUCCUACGGGAGGCAGCAGUGGGGAAUUUUGCACAAUGGGGGAAACCCUGACGCAGCAACGCCGCGUGGAGGAUGAAGUCCCUUGGGAAGUAAACUCCUUCGAU